CUAAGUUAAGUACUUUCAAGGGCCAUUGAUUUUAGUGGCAAUGUUAAGUAUACACUUCAACCUCUUAUACUGGAAUGAAUGGAAUGUCUUAGUUUCAAUCUCAUGUACAUUUAUUUAAGAAUAAACUGGGGGGGGGGAGGGAUUGCCUUCAAGUCAAGAUUCAUAGCCUUGGGGUGUAAAACUGCUAAACAUUUCCUAAUUCAUGCUCUUACAAUUUCCCCACUCUGUUUUUCCACUGUCUUUGUCAUGCACCCACCCACGUUGUUAGAGGUGAUGGAAAUGAAUAUUGGUUGAAAAGAAAAACAAAAAAAAGGCCAGACUAUAUACAACUAAGUUGAGAUUUCUAUCUUGCUUUCUUUCAAGUAGGGACUUUUCAGAACCUUUUAGAAAUGCCCCUGCUGUCUCAACAAGAAAAACACACACAGAUAAGCUACAUUUCAAAACAAAUGGAACACCUACAAGGGUCUUGUUGUGUAACACAUUCUUUCCCGUUUGUUCCUGCAGCUUCCAUGCUGAGUCAGGUGGGACCGCAGCAUGCCAUUCUAUGCCACAGCAUUUUGCCUAGAAAGAGCAAAGAGCAGAAACUGAUAUGCACCUUCAACCUUUUAAAGGGCAUUUCCCUGGGGAAAUCAAUUUGGGAAGAGGUUAUAAAAUGACUUCAGUGCCAAGUGCCUAUCGACACCAGAACAAUAAACCAAAACAUUUGGGAUAAGAGAGGGACAUUCAGUGGCCCAGCAAUCCUGGCUGGGUGGAUUGUGUGGGGAAGAUAGGUAAGAUGUCCUGAAUGACCUUGGAGUGAAGAGGACCAGGUGAACCAGUUACACAGGCAUGGUGCAAUGCUUGCAGCCUGUGCUAUAAAGCUCAGCAGUAUUUAUCCCAUUCCAAGGAAAAGCUUUGUAAUGAACACUACCCCAGAUGAGAGAUUCUAUCAAUAAAUUUGGCUCAAGGCUGAUAACAGUACGUACUAACUUUUAUAUCAUACUUUCACAGAAGCUGCUCAGUUUGUUUAGCAGCCCAUCAACCAGCUGGAAAUAGGCCUGGCAUUCUAUAUUAUGUUCAUUUGCGUUCCGGUGUCUGGGUUGUAUUGCCAACUCUGCCUUGAUUCUGGUUUUCCUAUUUGCCAUGUCUGAGGCAAACAAUACAUGAUUGACAGUUCCACAAUUCUUCCUAUUGACUUUUUAAAAGCAGCAGCCAAGAGAGGAUGAAAUUUUGAGCCAAAGGUCAGCUGGGGGUGAGGGGAGGGCUUGCUUAAAGCCUUUACUGUAUUUUCUGCAUUUGCUCAAAAUCUUCUCUUCUGCCUGAAA